AGUGAACGCUGGCGGUAGGCCUAACACAUGCAAGCCGAACGGCAGCACAGUAAGAGCUUGCUCUUACGGGUGGCGAGUGGCGGACGGGUGAGGAAUACAUCGGAAUCUACUUUUACGUGGGGGAUAACGUAGGGAAACUUACGCUAAUACCGCAUACGACCUACGGGUGAAAGCAGGGGAUCUUCGGACCUUGCGCGAUUGAAUGAGCCGAUGUCGGAUUAGCUAGUUGGCGGGGUAAAGGCCCACCAAGGCGACGAUCCGUAGCUGGUCUGAGAGGAUGAUCAGCCACACUGGAACUGAGACACGGUCCAGACUCCUACGGGAGGCAGCAGUGGGGAAUAUUGGACAAUGGGCGCAAGCCUGAUCCAGCCAUACCGCGUGGGUGAAGAAGGCCUUCGGGUUGUAAAGCCCUUUUGUUGGGAAAGAAAAGCAGCAGGUUAAUACCCCGCUGUUCUGACGGUACCCAAAGAAUAAGCACCGGCUAACUUCGUG
rnacentral:rRNA from 1 species